GUCCCCCUUUAAAGAAAGUUGUAAGUAAAACCAGGCAGCAGUUGCAGUAAAUUGAGUCCUUUCAGUCACUGUAUACAUGCAGCAGUUCUGCAAUAAGGGAAAAAAUAUAAUGGGAGGAGCAGCUGUGAACGAGUGACCUCCUGAAGCUGAGUUCUCUUUGUGAAUCAAGCACGGGGAGCCAGUGCCUCUGAUUUGCAUGGAUUAUCUCCACUUGAACAGAUACAUUUAAAUUAACUGGCACAGGGGCACAGAGAUAAAAAGAAAAAAAAAAGGGGGGGGGGGGGGGGGGGGAGGAAAAGUAAGUGAGUGAGGGAAGGAGAACAGGAGCGAAGGAGAGCGGGGAAGAAGAGAGGAGAGCAGACGCUCAGCUGGGUACGCAGCUCAGGCAGAGCUGUACCUCGGAAGAGCUACAGCUCCCUCUUCAUGUCACUGCUGCGAGAUGAGGAAAGCUGUCAUUAUGGCCGAGUUGGGUAUGUGUUAAUCUCUGGAGUGACUGGAUAUCUCUUGUGUGGCCCCUGGCUUAAGGGCUGGGGGUAACAGGAAGGAAGGAAGCAAUUAAUUAAUAUUGUGAUGACUUUCAAAUUGAAAGAGCAGCAUUUUGUACAUGAUUUGGAUAUUAACAAAAGUUUCUUCUCAGGAAGAGUGGAGAUGCACUGGCACAGGUCACUAUCCCUGGAGGCAAUCAAGAACUGUGGAGAUGUGGCACUGAGGGGCAUGGUGGAGACAGAUUGGACACAAUGAACUUAAUGAUCCUUUCCAACCUUGAUGAUGCUGUGAUGCUGUGCAGACUUUUGUGAUCCUCCACAUGCAGUCAUACUGCUUGGAAAUUAUCCCAAAAGUUAGGAAAGCAAAGUAGAACAGCUGAUCACACAUUUCCUGAGUCAGCAGUCAAAAAUACGAAGGAAUAUGAAACCUACUCAUUGAGAAAUAGUAUCUGGUGAGAUUUGGUGGGACAAAUUGUCCUGUAUUGGCAGUUAAAACUGUUCAGCUGAACUCUGGCUUGUAGGAAUGUUGUCUUCUGCAAAAUACUGCUUGUUCGUUGAUCAAUAACCUGAAACUGUAAAGACAACAAGGGCUAAACUCUGUCUCCAGCUCAUUUGUGGAUUGAGCUCAGUCCAACAAACAUUUGUUGUGUUUCCAUUGCUGAACCAUGUUUCUAAGGAAAAGCCUAUGGAGUUUUCUCUGCAGGAUCCAACAUUUACUUAUAAUGCAGAUUCCAAAAUGAUGCCUCUGCCUGAACAGAAUAUAUGGUAAUAACAGAUUAAUUUGACUCCUGCGGAGCACUGAGAAGCCAAGUGUUAAUGUCAAACCUGUAUAUAGUAGCUGUGGAAAGCUGCAUCCUGACUGAGGGCUUUGAAAAAUAUGGACUGUGAACCAAAUUUGCUCCUGUUUCUCUUUACUCCCUGAUAUGCUUGUCAGCAUUUCAGAAUGCCAAGCUAAUAAUGGCAUAACAAUUCAGUCCCAAGAAACCAUAUGCCCACAAACAUAAAGAAAUAACCAACAAUGAGGGCGGCCUUCACCUUAAAAGUACAGUAAGAAGAAAUGACAAUGUAAGGAAUCAAGACAGUUGUGGAUGAUACAUGACAAUAAGGACAGUACAAACUGGUUGCGGAAACUGUGGGAUGUGUCUUAUUCUCUGGAAAGAUUUGUAUGCCUGAAGUGUCAUCUGCUAAAAUUCACGAAGAGAAGACCUUAAGAGAGAUGUGGCUGGAGGCAAUGUUAAAUGAAGUCGUGGAUUUGGGAAAAGGUGUAAGAGAAAGAAAACUGAAUAGGGCAACUGGGAAUUUACAGACCCUUGCUGAGUGAGAGGACUUGUGAGAGAAAAAGAACAAGCAGAACAACAGGGAGAUAGAGAAAAGUUAAAAAAUAUGUUUGCCAUCUGGGAGACAAGAAAAAUACAACAGACAAAACCAAAACAGAAGGUAGAAAAAAAGUGAAAAAGUUAAUUCUAGCAGAGUGCUGGAGACUAGAAGCCAAAGAUGAGUAAGAAUGGUAGAGUAGUUUGUGAGGAAAAAGAACAAGAGGCAGGAUAAUUUAUGAACAGAGUGUAAAGUAAAUUAAGAAAAAAAUUAAUGCCUACAUGCAUUUUGAGUCUGUUAAAGAAAAACAACGAAUACAGGAAAAUCCUUUUCUGUAUAUAUAAAUAAAUACAUAUACAUAUAUAUUUAUUCACAGUGGGAAAGGGAUGCAAGGAAAUUUCCACUGGACUAAAUCAAAUAUAAUUAAAGUAAAUAAUUUCGUUUUAGGUAGGGAAAAAAUGACAAAAAAGCAAAGCUCAUGGGAACUGUAUCUCACUGAAUAACCAUGGAAAAAGUGGGAUUGAAAUGCAUAUUAUUAAAGCAAAACAAAUCUUAAGAAAUACAAGCAAAUCUUGGUAGAUAUUCAUGUAAUCUUCAUGCCUUCUUACUGUACACAACCAGAAGAAAAUCUGGUCAACAAAAAUUCAACUAUGCUAGAGGAAUUACCAGUGGAUAAUCAGGAAAGAGGCAAAUAUUAUAUAGUAGGAGCAAGGCAUUGAAGAGUACAUAUUAUUCAGGAAAGAUGUGAUUAAAACAGGUGACCUUGUAAAGCUGCCUUCUAGUAAUGUGGCAGAUUGCUUGGGCCAAAUUAAUGAAUGCGUUUACCAAGAAGUCAAAAGCCAGGGAAAUAUGAAACUAUUUCUGUCUUUUUUCUAAUAUACAAUACAGUUACUGUGAAGAAACUGUUCAAAAAACUCAUGAAUUCACUCAUUAAAAUGAAAUGGAAUAAUCAGUAAAAAUGAGGCUUUAUAUUUCAGGGGACAGAUUUGGUAACCUAAAAGGUCUUGUGAGUGAAAUCAAAUAGACUGAUCUAUACAGGGUUUUGAACGUGGAGAAGUCUUGGAAUUAUUUUACAUUUAAGUUGAUAAACCUGCGUGGAAUGUAUAUCUGAAGGAAUGGAGAAAUUUGUGAGAAAGUGGUCAAGCUAUUCCAUGCAAAUGAAGAACUUUCUCAAGAAGAAUAUUAGAGAAAAGACUUAUCAGCAGACACAGAUGUGUUUUAGAGGUCAGAAGUAGAAAGUACAGUGAAAAGUGUCAGUAGUCAAACUGAACUGCAAUUUUGCAUGGAUAUUAAACAGCAGAACAGUCACAGUUAAGCAAGAUGAGAACAAAUAAAACAUGGGACAUCUAUACAAAGAGGGUUAAGUGAAAAUAAAUAAAUAUCUAUUUAAAAUAAAAAAACUCAGUGACUACUUAGCGUAAGUUUUCAGUAAUAUUGACCACAGAGGAAACAGGAUAAAUAAUAGGAAUGAAGUCAAAAUUAUAGAAAUUAGGAAACUGGAAACAAAGCUAAAAGCACAGUGCAUUUAGACUGGGGAGGGAUAUCAAAUAAACCCUAUCCCACAACCACAAGAAAGAGAACAUGAAACUCCAAACCCAAUUGGAAGGAUCCCAGACAUGUCUGACUGGGUAACAGCAAAUGCAUUAUCUGUUUCUGAGAGAGAGGCCUAUGCAGUUACGAACCCCUUAGCUUGACCUCACUUGCUUUAGAAAAAAUGUUGAAGGAAAAAUGUAAUUGAAGGCAGGGUGGUAAAUGGAAAAUGGGAUAGCAUGCAAAAAGGAUUUACUAAAGAUAGAUUGUGCCAAGUAAAUGUGUUAUCUCUCUUUAAUGAGAUAACUGAUUUCUAGACAAAGGAUUUGUGAUACAUCUUAUUUAUAUCUGUGCUGCGUAUGAUACAGCAUCACAUAGGAAACCAGGGAUUAGGAGAAGAGUUGUAAAGUGGGUAAGAAGAGAUUGUCUAACAGAUAGAUGGCAACAGGUGGUAUUGAAAGAAGCAGUGUCAAACCGCAGGAAGUUUACUAGCAGGAAUCCUCAAAAAUCAGUGUUGGGAUCAACUUAAAAAAAAAAGUCCAAGUAUAAAGAAAUGAAGUACUAAUUCUGCAGUUUCCAUUAAGCCAGAAAACAGUCACUACAAAAGAAGAAUAACUGAUUUUUUUCUUACUUAAAACACACAUGCACAAGUAUUUUGUAUACACACACACAUAAAGGACGUAUUAUAAAUACAAUAUCAUAUUUUACAAGAAGAGAAAAAAUCAUGGCUCCAUAAAGGCCUGAAUGUGUGAGCGUGUGGCUUUGCCUGAAAUUCCAUGCAAGUUCUUCAACACUCAGAGUCAAGAAAAUAUGCUAAAUCUAAAACAACUGCUGAGAAGGCAACUGCAAUGCUCAGCAGAGUGGAGAGCCAUCACUCCAGGAACGGAAUUAAAAGUUUUGCUGGUUUUGUAAGGGAAUGCAAAAAGCUGAAAGGCAUUAUAGCUGAUGUCUAUAAAUGUAUUAUUAUACACCAGGUUGGAAAACAUCUGUAUGAACUUAUGGGAUGAAGCUGAAAAAAAAAAAAGAAAAGCAUCUUGUGUUCAGAUAAGAAAUACGGAAGUGAUUCUAACAAUCAGAAUUGUGAAAUUUCAAAACAGACUUCCUAAAUUUGUGUUAAGAGUAAAAAACUAAACAAAAACUACUGCAUUUUAAUGGAGAAUUAUUCUUUUAUUAAAGUCAUUGCACCUGGUCAGCUAUGCAAUUAGAAAACUAGAUUCAAGAUAUUCCUUACUUUUUUCCCCAGUUUGCAUUGAACAUAUUGACCUGUCAUAUGUCUUCUCCCUCCCAGUUUUUUAGUGCCAAUCAGUAUCUUUGUUGUUGCUGAAGAAUUGAGCAGAUUCAAUGGUGCGUCACCUAAGAAUAGGCUGUCCAUUGAUUCACUGUGCAGUCUUUCCAUUUCUACCCUUUAUUCUGAAACAUGCCUGAUGAGGAAAGAUUCUGAUACGGGUACAGUGAUUAUCUUGGCAUCUGGCACAGAACCUAUUAGGCCCUCCAUCCAAGACAACUAAUAAAAAGGAGUAUUGAAAGGUACAAGGCACAAGAUAACAUAGCACAAAGAGACAAGAGUACAGUUUACCAAGAAAAUGUUUCUGAAGCAAAAGAACGAGAAAAGUGCAUUACCUUUUAGCUUGACUGUGAUCAUAGAACAAGUCAGGCAGUGUCAGAGUGAAGGAUGUAGGAAAGAUUAAAGAAAACGGACAAAGAAACGCAGAAACAUUUUUGACUUUACAAGAGGCUUGAUUUUGAUUCACUUAUAAAAGAGGGCCCUUUGAUUUAUUUAGAUCCACGUGAACUUCCUUGCUCAGCAAUUGUACAACCUGUUAACAAUUCUCUGCUGAUUAGACAAUGGGAAAAUAGAAAAGAACCAGUCAUGGUUAUAGCAGCAGAAAAGCCAUGUACAUUCUAACAACUGGCUAUCACCUUCACAGGACAUUGCUACAUUCCAGAGAGAAAAGUCCAGCAGAAGCAGCUAAGUACCUACAAGACAGAUGAAUAUGCAAAGACAUGAAUGUGCUUGCUGUUUGUGCUUUGUUUAUUUCCAUUCCCAAUAUUGGUGGACAUGAACAUCAACAAUAAGCAAACACAUUCAGAUGAAUUAAAAGCUCCUGGAUUUCUCAUAACUUAUCAUGAAUUUAUAUUAAAACUGUAACUAAAACCCAUUCACCAAAAUUAUCAGUAAAAAAAAAAUUAUCUGAAGUACUUCCAGCGUGCCCAGAGCCAAUAAAUU
rnacentral:lncRNA from 1 species